rnacentral:rRNA from 1 species
AGAGUUUGAUCCUGGCUCAGAUUGAACGCUGGCGGCAUGCCUUACACAUGCAAGUCGAACGGCAGCGGGGACUUCGGUCCGCCGGCGAGUGGCGAACGGGUGAGUAAAGUAUCGGAACGUACCUUUCAGUGGGGGAUAACGUAGCGAAAGUUACGCUAAUACCGCAUAUUCUGUGAGCAGGAAAGCAGGGGAUCGCAAGACCUUGCGCUGAUUGAGCGGCCGAUAUCAGAUUAGCUAGUUGGUGGGGUAAAGGCCUACCAAGGCGACGAUCUGUAGCGGGUCUGAGAGGAUGAUCCGCCACACUGGAACUGAGACACGGUCCAGACUCCUACGGGAGGCAGCAGUGGGGAAUUUUGGACAAUGGGGGCAACCCUGAUCCAGCCAUGCCGCGUGAGUGAAGAAGGCCUUCGGGUUGUAAAGCUCUUUCGGCCGGGAAGAAAUCGCAUAGGUUAAUACCCUGUGUGGAUGACGGUACCGGAAUAAGAAGCACCGGCUAACUACGUGCCAGCAGCCGCGGUAAUACGUAGGGUGCGAGCGUUAAUCGGAAUUACUGGGCGUAAAGCGUGCGCAGGCGGUUUCGUAAGACAGAGGUGAAAUCCCCGGGCUCAACCUGGGAACUGCCUUUGUGACUGCGAAGCUAGAGUACGGCAGAGGGGGGUGGAAUUCCACGUGUAGCAGUGAAAUGCGUAGAGAUGUGGAGGAACACCGAUGGCGAAGGCAGCCCCCUGGGCCGAUACUGACGCUCAUGCACGAAAGCGUGGGUAGCAAACAGGAUUAGAUACCCUGGUAGUCCACGCCCUAAACGAUGUCAACUAGGUGUUGGGUGGGUAAAACCAUUUAGUACCGUAGCUAACGCGUGAAGUUGACCGCCUGGGGAGUACGGCCGCAAGGUUAAAACUCAAAGGAAUUGACGGGGACCCGCACAAGCGGUGGAUGAUGUGGAUUAAUUCGAUGCAACGCGAAAAACCUUACCUACCCUUGACAUGUUCAGAAUCCUGGAGAGAUUUGGGAGUGCCCGAAAGGGAGCUGGAACACAGGUGCUGCAUGGCUGUCGUCAGCUCGUGUCGUGAGAUGUUGGGUUAAGUCCCGCAACGAGCGCAACCCUUGUCGUUAAUUGCCAUCAUUUAGUUGGGCACUUUAACGAGACUGCCGGUGACAAACCGGAGGAAGGUGGGGAUGACGUCAAGUCCUCAUGGCCCUUAUGGGUAGGGCUUCACACGUCAUACAAUGGUCGGUACAGAGGGUUGCCAAGCCGCGAGGUGGAGCCAAUCCCAGAAAGCCGAUCGUAGUCCGGAUUGCAGGCUGCAACUCGCCUGCAUGAAGUCGGAAUCGCUAGUAAUCGCGGAUCAGCAUGUCGCGGUGAAUACGUUCCCGGGUCUUGUACACACCGCCCGUCACACCAUGGGAGCGGGUUCCGCCAGAAGUAGGUAGCCUAACCGCAAGGGGGGCGCUUACCACGGCGGGGUUCGUGACUGGGGUGAAGUCGUAACAAGGUAGCCGUAGGGGAACCUGCGGCUGGAUCACCUCCUU